GACUUUCCUGUGAUGAAAUACAGAUUCCUCUUUAAAGAUCUCAGUGCAAAUCCCAGAAUACACUGAGGCGUCAGUGAUGUCUAUGCCGCUCUCAAUCAGGUCCUCCUCAUAGAACAUCACAUUGCCCUUCAUCAGCUGUUUGAAAGCCAGUUCAGCAAGUUUCACAAUCACAUCUCUGUUGGACUGCAGGUGUUGCUUUGGUUUUCUUUCAUCAUACUUCUGAUUCCUCAUGUUGAUCUGAGUCAGCAAGAAGUGGAUGUACAUUUCACUCAGAGUUUGAGGGAUUUCUGGACUUUCAUCUUGUUUCAGGAGGUUGAAGCACAGUGGCUGAGAUCCAGCAGAAGACGGGUAUGUGACACAUGAUGUUGAGGCUUCUUGAUCUUCUUAUGUGUGAGAUGAUUCUGCUGGCUUGAUGCUCAUCACUGAUUCUCUUCCUGAAAUAUUCCUCCUUCUGAGACUCAUUGAAUCCCUGAAUUUCUG